UACAGAGGUCCCGAGCGUUGUUCGGAUUCAUUGGGCGUAAAGGGUGCGUAGGCGGCGGGGCAAGUCUGAUGUGAAAUCCCGGGGCUCAACCCCGGAACUGCAUUGGAUACUGCCUUGCUAGAGUACUGGAGAGGGAACUGGAAUUUACGGUGUAGCAGUGAAAUGCGUAGAGAUCGUAAGGAAGGCCAGUGGCGAAGGCGAGUUCCCGGACAGUUACUGACGCUGAGGCACGAAGGCCAGGGGAGCAAACGGG
rnacentral:rRNA from 1 species